CGAAAGCCUGACGGAGCAACGCCGCGUGUGGGAAGAAGGCUCUUGGGCUGUCAACCACUUUUCUCAGGGAAGAAGUUCUGACGGUACCUGAGGAAUCAGCCUCGGCUAACUCCGUGCCGGCAGCCGCGGUAAUACGGAGGAGGCAAGCGUUAUCCGGAAUUAUUGGGCGUAAAGCGUCCGCAGGUGGUCUGGCAAGUCUGCUGUCAAAGACCGGGGCUUAACUCCGGAAAGGCAGUGGAAACUGCGAGACUAGAGUGCGGUAGGGGUAGAGGGAAUUCCCGGUGUAGCGGUGAAAUGCGUAGAGAUUGGGAAGAACACCGGUGGCGAAAGCGCUCUACUGGGUCGCACCUGACCCUCAGGGACGAAAGCUAAGGUAGCG
rnacentral:rRNA from 1 species